UGGCCCAUGUUGUGGAGGGUACAGGGAGAAAAUUUUAUGCAGAAGCCCUGUGAACUACGGUUCUGUGUGUCCUUAUGCAAUAACUAAAGAUCUUAAAGGGAUGAUAGUGGGUGUGGCACUUGGCAAGUCUCUGAGUGAGGAAGAAAACUUGAAACUCUAUGGGAAAUGCAACAAUCCCAAUGGCCACGGGCACAAUUACAAAGUUGUGGUGACAGUAUACGGAGAGAUUGAUCCUGAUACAGGAAUGGUCAUGAACUUGACUGACCUCAAAAAAUACAUGGAGGUAAUGCCAUAGUGGUACUGCCCC